GCAUGAGUUAUGUCAUGUUAUCGAUAUGUGAAUACAUAGCAUAUCAGAAGGCACACCCGGAGAACUGAAACAUCUUAGUACUCGGAGGAAGAGAAAGAAAAUUCGAUUCCCUUAGUAGCGGCGAGCGAAACGGGAAGAGCCCAAACCAACAAGCUUGCUUGUUGGGGUUGUAGGACACUCUAUACGGAGUUACAAAGGACGACAUUAGACGAAUCAUCUGGAAAGAUGAAUCAAAGAAGGUAAUAAUCCUGUAGUCGAAAAUGUUGUCUCUCUUGAGUGGAUCCUGAGUACGACGGAGCACGUGAAAUUCCGUCGGAAUCUGGGAGGACCAUCUCCUAAGGCUAAAUACUCUCUAGUGACCGAUAGUGAACCAGUACCGUGAGGGAAAGGUGAAAAGCACCCCGGAAGGGGAGUGAAACAGAACCUGAAACCGUGUGCUUACAAGUAGUCAGAGCCCGUUAAUGGGUGAUGGCGUGCCUUUUGUAGAAUGAACCGGCGAGUUACGAUUUGAUGCAAGGUUAAGCAGUAAAUGUGGAGCCGUAGCGAAAGCGAGUCUGAAUAGGGCGUUUAGUAUUUGGUCGUAGACCCGAAACCAGGUGAUCUACCCUUGGUCAGGUUGAAGUUCAGGUAACACUGAAUGGAGGACCGAACCGACUUACGUUGAAAAGUGAGCGGAUGAACUGAGGGUAGCGGAGAAAUUCCAAUCGAACCUGGAGAUAGCUGGUUCUCUCCGAAAUAGCUUUAGGGCUAGCCUCAAGUGAUGAUUAUUGGAGGUAGAGCACUGUUUGGACGAGGGGCCCCUCUCGGGUUACCGAAUUCAGACAAACUCCGAAUGCCAAUUAAUUUAACUUGGGAGUCAGAACAUGGGUGAUAAGGUCCGUGUUCGAAAGGGAAACAGCCCAGACCACCAGCUAAGGUCCCAAAAUAUAUGUUA
rnacentral:rRNA from 1 species